rnacentral:misc_RNA from 1 species
AACGCACAUUGCGCCCCUUGGUAUUCCGGGGGGCAUGCCUGUUCGAGCGUCAUUUCAACCCUCAAGCUCUGCUUGGUCUUGGGCCGCGCCGGCAACGGCGGGCCUCAAAAACAGUGGCGGCGCCAUCGUGUCCCUCAGCGUAGUAAUUCUUCUCGCUGCUGGUGCCCGGUGGCCGCUGGCCAGCAACCCCAAAUUUUUCUAUGGUUGACCUCGGAUCAGGUAGGGAUACCCGCUGAACUUAA